rnacentral:rRNA from 1 species
AGCAGCCGCGGUAAUUCCAGCUCCAAUAGCGUAUAUUAAAGUUGUUGCAGUUAAAAAGCUCGUAGUUGAAUUUCGGGGUUAGUAGGUUGGUCAUGCCUCUGGUAUGUACUGGUCUCACUGAUUCCUCCUUCCUUAUGAACCGUAAUGCCAUUAAUUUGGUGUUGCGGGGAAUUUGGACUGUUACUUUGAAAAAAUUAGAGUGUUUAAAGCAAGCUAACGCUUGAAUACAUUAGCAUGGAAUAAUGAAAUAGGACAUUCGAUCCUAUUUUGUUGGUUUCUAGGAUUGACGUAAUGAUUAAUAGGGAUAGUUGGGGGCAUUAGUAUUCAAUUGUCAGAGGUGAAAUUCUUGGAUUUAUUGAAGACUAACUACUGCGAAAGCAUUUGCCAAGGAUGUUUUCAUUAAUCAAGAACGAAAGUUAGGGGAUCGAAGACGAUCAGAUACCGUCGUAGUCUUAACCAUAAACUAUGCCGACUAGGGAUCGGAUGAUGUUAAUUUUUUUAAUGACUCAUUCGGCGCCUU